UACGUAGGGUCCGAGCGUUGUCCGGAAUUAUUGGGCGUAAAGGGCUCGUAGGCGGUUGGUCACGUCGGGAGUGAAAACUCAGGGCUCAACCCUGAGCGUGCUUCCGAUACGGGCCGACUAGAGGUAUGCAGGGGAGAACGGAAUUCCUGGUGUAGCGGUGGAAUGCACAGAUAUCAGGAGGAACACCGGUGGCGAAGGCGGUUCUCUGGGCAUUACCUGACGCUGAGGAGCGAAAGCAUGGGGAGCGAACAGG
rnacentral:rRNA from 1 species